rnacentral:rRNA from 1 species
GAUGAACGCUGGCGGCGUGCCUAAUACAUGCAAGUCGAGCGAACAGACGAGGAGCUUGCUCCUCUGACGUUAGCGGCGGACGGGUGAGUAACACGUGGAUAACCUACCUAUAAGACUGGGAUAACUUCGGGAAACCGGAGCUAAUACCGGAUAAUAUAUUGAACCGCAUGGUUCAAUAGUGAAAGACGGUUUUGCUGUCACUUAUAGAUGGAUCCGCGCCGCAUUAGCUAGUUGGUAAGGUAACGGCUUACCAAGGCAACGAUGCGUAGCCGACAUGAGAGGGUGAUCGGCCACACUGGAACUGAGACACGGUCCAGACUCCUACGGGAGGCAGCAGUAGGGAAUCUUCCGCAAUGGGCGAAAGCUUGACGGAGAAACGCCGCGUGAGUGAUGAAGGUCUUCGGAUCGUAAAACUCUGUUAUUAGGGAAGAACAAAUGUGUAAGUAACUAUGCACGUCUUGACGGUACCUAAUCAGAAAGCCACGGCUAACUACGUG